UUUGGGGGAUGUAUAGUUCUCUUAUGAGGCUAGUUAAGUUUUGAGUAGUAAAGAUACUAAAAUGUUAUGAAAAAAACAUAAUACCAACUACGUUGGAUAAAGUUCUAGAUAGAAUACUGAUUAUGACUAUUUUCUAUCUACAUGUCUUGACCAAAUUACGUGCCAGCAGUCGCGGUAAUACGUAGAAGACUAGUGUUAUUCAUAUUUAAUAGGUUUAAAGGGUACCUAGACGGUAUUACUAACCCACAACAGGGAAAUAGUUUUUGCUAGAGUUUUAUGUGAGAAGGGAGUACUUACGGAGUAGAGUUGAAAUUCUUUGAUACCCUAAGGACUGGUAACGGCGAAAGCAGCCUUUUAUGUAAAAACUGACGUUAAGGGACGAAGGCUUGGGUCGCGAAUAGGAUUAGAUACCCUAGUAGUCCAUGCAGAUAAUGAUGAAUGCCAUAGACUAGAUUAUUUUUGGUCUAUAAAUGAAAGUGUAAGCAUUCCACCUCAAGAGUACUGUGGCAACGCUGGAACUGAAAUCAUUAGACCGUUUCUGAGAACAGUAGUGAAGUAUGUUAUAUAAUUCGAUAGUCCUCGAAAAACCUUACCACAGCUUGAAUAAUGUCAACAGUUAAUGGAGGUAAUUAGACUACUUUAUGUACCCUUCAUUUUAGUCCGCUUGGUGAAGGUAGCAAGGAGUAUAUAAUUACCUCUACUAACAAUGAUAUUACACGUGUUGCACGGUUGUCUUCAGCUAAUGUCGUGAGACUUGGUUAGCUCCAUUUAAUUAGCGUGAACCCCGACUUUAUUUUUUAAUUAUUAUCAUAAAGUAGUCAUUUCACUAUAUCGAAAUUUGAUAAAGGAACAAGAC
rnacentral:rRNA from 1 species